UACGAAGGGGGCUAGCGUUGCUCGGAAUCACUGGGCGUAACGCGCACGUAGGCGGAUCUUUAAGUCAGGGGUGAAAUCCUGGAGCUCAACUCCAGAACUGCCUUUGAUACUGGGGAUCUCGAGUCCGGAAGAGGUGAGUGGAACUCCGAGUGUAGAGGUGAAAUUCGUAGAUAUUCGGAAGAACACCAGUGGCGAAGGCGGCUCACUGGUCCGGUACUGACGCUGAGGUGCGAAAGCGUGGGGAGCAAACAGG
rnacentral:rRNA from 1 species